UCCGGCUUAUCACCGGCAGUUUCUUUAGAGUGCUCAACUAAAUGGUAGCAACUAAAGACGAGGGUUGCGCUCGUUGCGGGACUUAACCCAACACCUCACGGCACGAGCUGACGACAGCCGUGCAGCACCUGUGCGCGCUCCCUCGCGGGUCCCCUCGGUCUCCCUCGGGUACCACGCGCAUGUCAAGCCCGGGUAAGGUUCUUCGCGUUGCAUCGAAUUAAACCACACGCUCCGCUGCUUGUGCGGGCCCCCGUCAAUUCCUUUGAGUUCUAGCCUUGCGGCCGUACUCCCCAGGCGGGGCACUCACUGCGUUAGCGGCGGCACCGGGGGGGUCGAUACCCCCGACACCUAGUGCCCAUCGUUUACGGCGUGGACUAC
rnacentral:misc_RNA from 1 species